rnacentral:rRNA from 1 species
GAUGAACGCUAGCGGGAGGCCUAACACAUGCAAGCCGAGCGGUAUUUGUUCUUCGGAACAGAGAGAGCGGCGCACGGGUGCGGAACACGUGUGCAACCUGCCUUUAUCUGGGGGAUAGCCUUUCGAAAGGAAGAUUAAUACCCCAUAAUAUAUUGAGUGGCAUCAUUUGAUAUUGAAAACUCCGGUGGAUAGAGAUGGGCACGCGCAAGAUUAGAUAGUUGGUGAGGUAACGGCUCACCAAGUCAAUGAUCUUUAGGGGGCCUGAGAGGGUGAUCCCCCACACUGGUACUGAGACACGGACCAGACUCCUACGGGAGGCAGCAGUGAGGUAUAUUGGACAAUGGGUUAGCGCCUGAUCCAGCCAUCCCGCGUGAAGGACGACGGCCCUAUGGGUUGUAAACUUCUUUUGUAUAGGGAUAAACCUACUCUCGUGAGAGUAGCUGAAGGUACUAUACGAAUAAGCACCGGCUAACUCCGUG